rnacentral:rRNA from 1 species
GGCCUACGGGUGGCAGCAGUGGGGAAUCUUGGACAAUGGGCGCAAGCCUGAUCCAGCAAUGCCGCGUGGGUGAAGAAGGCCUUCGGGUUGUAAAGCCCUUUCGGUGGGGAAGAAAUCGGCCGGGCGAAUAGUCCGGUCGGAUGACGGUACCCGCAGAAGAAGCACCGGCUAACUACGUGCCAGCAGCCGCGGUAAUACGUAGGGUGCGAGCGUUAAUCGGAAUUACUGGGCGUAAAGGGUGCGCAGGCGGUUCUGUAAGACCGGUGUGAAAUCCCCGGGCUCAACCUGGGAAUUGCGCUGGUGACUGCAGGGCUAGAGUACGGUAGAGGGGGGUGGAAUUCCUGGUGUAGCAGUGAAAUGCGUAGAGAUCAGGAGGAACACCGAUGGCGAAGGCAGCCCCCUGGGCCUGUACUGACGCUCAUGCACGAAAGCGUGGGGAGCAAACAGGAUUAGAUACCCUAGUAGUC